rnacentral:rRNA from 1 species
AACGAACGCUGGCGGCGGGGUUUAGGCAUGCAAGUCGAGCGAGAAAGGGGCAACCCGAGUAAAGCGGCGUAAGGGUGAGUAAUAGGUAGUUUACGUAUCCAUGUGACGCGGAUAAUUUCCCGAAAGGGAUUGUAAUACGCGAUGAGACCACGCCCGAUCCGUCGGGAGGGGUCAAAGGUUCGGGAUCCUUCGGGACCGAGCGCAGAUGGAGCGGACGACCUCCGAUUAGCUAGUUGGCGGGGUAACGGCCCACCAAGGCGAUGAUCGGUAGCCGGCCUGAGAGGGCGCACGGCCACACUGGAACUGAAACACGGUCCAGACUCCUACGGGAGGCAGCAGUGGGGAAUUUUGCGCAAUGGGGGAAACCCUGACGCAGCAACGCCGCGUGGAGAUGAAGUCCCUUGGGACGUAAACUCCUUUCGACCGGGACGAUAAUGACGGUACC